CACGUAAGGGGCAAGCGUUGUUCGGAAUUAUUGGGCGUAAAGGGCGUGUAGGCGGUUCUGCAAGCCUGGUGUUAAAUACCACAGCUUAACUGUGGGAAAGCGCUGGGAACUGCGGGACUAGAGUUUAGGAGGGGAAGCUAGAAUUCCAGGUGUAGGGGUGAAAUCUGUAGAUAUCUGGAAGAAUACCAGUGGCGAAGGCGAGCUUCUGGCCAUAGACUGACGCUGAUGCGCGAAAGCGUGGGGAGCGAACAGGAUUAGAUACCCUGGUAGUCCACGCUGUAAACGAUGUGCACUAGGUGUUGGGCAGGAUUGUUCAGUGCCGUAGCAAACGCGUUAAGUGCACCGCCUGGGGAGUAUGCUCGCAAGGGUGAA
rnacentral:rRNA from 1 species